AACGAACGCUGGCGGCAGGCUUAACACAUGCAAGUCGAACGCAUGCCUUCGGGCAUGAGUGGCAGACGGGUGAGUAACGCGUGGGAACCUACCCCUUGGUACGGGAUAGCUCCGGGAAACUGGAGAUAAUACCGUAUGUGUCCUGAGGGACAAAGAUUCAUCGCCAAGGGAUGGGCCCGCGUCGGAUUAGCUAGUUGGUGGGGUAACGGCCUACCAAGGCGACGAUCCGUAGCUGGUCUAAGAGGAUGAUCAGCCACAUUGGGACUGAGACACGGCCCAAACUCCUACGGGAGGGAGCAGUGGGGAAUAUUGGACACUGGGCGCAAGCCUGAACCAGCCAUGCCGCGUGAGUGAUGAAGGCCCGAGGGUUGUAAAGCUCUUUAACCGGUGACGAUAAUGACGGUAACCGGAGAAGAAGCCCCGGCUAACUUCGUG
rnacentral:rRNA from 1 species